rnacentral:rRNA from 1 species
ACACGACUACAUUAGAUACCCGUGUAGUCCUAGCCGUAAACGAUACUCGCUAGGUGUCGGCCACGGUGCGACCGUUGUCGGUGCCGUAGGGAAGCCGUGAAGCGAGCCACCUGGAAGUACGGCCGCAAGGCUGAAACUUAAAGGAAUUGGCGGGGAGCACAACAACGGGUGGAGCUUGCGGUUUAAUUGGAUUCAACGCCGGAAAUCUUACCGGGACCGACAGCAACAUGAAGGCCAAGCUGAAGACUUUGCCGGAUUAGCUG